rnacentral:misc_RNA from 1 species
AACUCAGAAGAUUCAACUUUAGAGGGUGUUGUAUCAAGGAUUAGGUUAGCUGAUCCUUCAUCAAGUUUUCCAUUUAAAUCUCCAUCAACAUGCAUAAAUGACUGCUCCAUGUUGUCAUCUUUGACCACAUAAUCAUCUGGAUUGAUGACUUCACCAAAGUCAUCCCACUCAGAGGUGUUAUCAUAGAAAGGGAACAUUGGGGCUAUGCUAGACGAUGUUGUUACAAAUCCAUCAAUCAGCACGUCCUUGAAAGCACCACUGUGCAGACCAGAAGCAUUGGAGGAAGGAUGUGUGACAUUGGUGUCAACGGCCAUGGGGUCAUCUGUGACGACUUCUGCCCCAACAGACGCUUUUGAUUCCUCCUCUUUAACAAGAGUAGCUUUGAGAGCUUCUUCCCUUUUUAUCCUGUUCUGCUCCUCCUCAUAAGCAGCCAACUCCUCACCAACCAAGGGAAUUCUACGUGACAUGGUAACUUUAACAGCUUUAGGAGGUGGAUCUGACUGAAGUAUACGUGCCAAUGUGCCAAACUGCCCUCUCUCGGUGAACAUAACAAGAUUCUUUGGAUCAGCUGCCCAUUCAACAAAGAGGUCAUGCGAAAAUCCAGCUUCUAAACUAGCCAUGGAAGCCAUAACAACCUUCGGCCCAGGAGCUUCUUCAAGAGCACUCUUAUUG